rnacentral:rRNA from 1 species
AGAAACGGCUACCACAUCCAAGGAAGGCAGCAGGCACGCAAAUUACCCACUCCCGGCUCGGGGAGGUAGUGACGAAAAAUAACAAUACCGGACUCUUCCGAGGCUCGGUAAUUGGAAUGGGUACACUUCAAAUCCUUUAACGAGUAUCUAUUGGAGGGCAAGUCUGGUGCCAGCAGCCGCGGUAAUUCCAGCUCCAAUAGCGUAUAUUAAAGUUGCUGCGGUUAAAAAGCUCGUAGUUGGAUCUCAGUCUCGGUCGGACGGUCCGCUUUAUAGUGGUACUGGACGAAUCGGACAUUCAGCCGCCUUUCUCAGUAUGCUCUUUACUGAGUGUAUUGGGACAGUGGCGCUUUCACUUUGAAAAAAUUAGAGUGCUCAAAGCAGGCUCACGCCUGAAUCUUCGUGCAUGGAAUGAUGGAAUAGGGCCUCGGUUCUAUUUUGUUGGUUUCCGGAACUCGAGGUAAUGAUUAAGAGGGACGGACGGGGGCAUUCGUAUUGCGACGUUAGAGGUGAAAUUCUUAGAUCGUCGCAAGACGAACUACUGCGAAAGCAUUUGCCAAGAGUGUUUUCAUUAAUCAAGAACGAAAGUCAGAGGUUCGAAGGCGAUCAGAUACCGCCCUAGUUCUGACCAUAAACGAUGCUGACUAGCGAUCCGUCGGCGUUACAACACAUGACCCGACGGGCAGCUUCCGGGAAACCAAAGUCUUUAUGUUCCGGGGGAAGUAUGCGUUGCAAAACUGGAACUUAAAGGAAUUGACGGAAGGGCACCACCAGGAGUGGAGCCUGUGGCUUAAUUUGACCCAACACGGGAAAUCUCACCAGGCACGGACACUAGCAGGAUUGACAGAUUGAUAGCUCUUUCUUGAUUUGGUGGGUGGUGGUGCAUGGCCGUUCUUAGUUGGUGGAGUGAUUUGUCUGGUUAAUUCCGAUAACGAACGAGACCUCGUCCUACUUACUAGACCGAGGAUCCUCUCGUUCUCGCGUCUUCUUAGAGGGACAAAUGAUUUUACCUUGAACUACAUGAAAUGGGGCAAUAACAGGUCUGUGAUGCCCUUAGAUGUUCUGGGCUGCACACGCGCUACACUGAAGGGAUCAUCGUGUUAACUAGCUCGAGAGAGCUUGUCAACCCGUUGAAUUCUCUUCGUGCUAGGGAUUGAGGCUUGCAAUUGUUUCUCAUGAACGAGGAAUUCCCAGUAAGUGCAAGUCAUAAGCUUGCGCUGAUUACGUCCCUGCCCUUUGUACACACCGCCCGUCGCUACUACCGAUUGGAUGAUUUAGUGAGGACUUCGGACUGGCUGCUCGUGGGGUAAAACCUGCAAGCGGAUCGGGAAGAUGUUCAAACUGUAUCAUCUAGAGGAAGUAAAAGUCGUAACAAGGAU